GGCGGGGUAGCUCAGCUGGUAGAGCAGAGGACUGAAAAUCCUUGUGUCGGCGGUUCGAUCCCGCCCCUUGCCACCA
rnacentral:tRNA from 2 species